CCUACGGGCGGCAGCAGUGGGGAAUAUUGGGCAAUGGGCGCAAGCCUGACCCAGCAACGCCGCGUGAAGGAAGAAGGCCCUCGGGUUGUAAACUUCUUUUAUCAAGGACGAAACAAAUGACGGUACCUGACGAAUAAGCCACGGCUAACUACGUGCCAGCAGCCGCGGUAAUACGUAGGUGGCAAGCGUUGUCCGGAUUUACUGGGUGUAAAGGGCGUGUAGCCGGGUUGACAAGUCAGAUGUGAAAUCCUGCGGCUUAACCGCAGAACUGCAUUUGAAACUGUUGAUCUUGAGUACUGGAGAGGCAGACGGAAUUCCUAGUGUAGCGGUGAAAUGCGUAGAUAUUAGGAGGAACACCAGUGGCGAAGGCGGUCUGCUGGACAGCAACUGACGGUGAGGCGCGAAAGCGUGGGGAGCAAACAGGAUUAGAUACCCCUGUAGUC
rnacentral:rRNA from 1 species